rnacentral:rRNA from 1 species
CCUACGGGAGGCAGCAGUGGGGAAUAUUGGGCAAUGGGCGCAAGCCUGACCCAGCAACGCCGCGUGAAGGAAGAAGGCUUUCUGGUUGUAAACUUCUUUUAUCAGGGACGAAUCAAGUGACGGUACCUGAUGAAUAAGCCACGGCUAACUAGGUGCAAGCAGCCGCGGUAAUACGUAGGUGGCAAGGGUUAUCCGGAUUUACUGGGUUUAAGGGUAGGUUAGGCGGGAGGUCAAGUCAGAUGGUAAAACUAUGGGCUCAACCCAGAGCCUGCAUUUGAAACUGUAAUUCUUGAGUGCUGGAGAGGCAAUCGGAAUUCCGAGUGUAGCGGUGAAAUGCGUAGAUAUAAGGAGGAACAGCAGUGGCGAAGGCGAAUUGCUGGACAGUAACUGACGCUGAGGCGCGAAAGCGUGGGGAGCAAACAGGAUUAGAUACCCUUGUAGUC